rnacentral:rRNA from 1 species
UACCAGCACCCCGAGUGGUCGGGACGUUUAUUGGGCCUAAAGCAUCCGUAGCCGGUUCUACAAGUCUUCCGUUAAAUCCACCUGCUUAACAGAUGGGCUGCGGAAGAUACUAUGGAGCUAGGAGGCGGGAGAGGCAAGCGGUACUCGAUGGGUAGGGGUAAAAUCCGUUGAUCCAUUGAAGACCACCAGUGGCGAAGGCGGCUGCCAGAACGCGCUCGACGGUGACGGGAUGAA